CCUACGGGAGGCAGCAGUGAGGGAUAUUGGUCAAUGGGGGAAACCCUGAACCAGCAACGCCGCGUGAGGGAAGACGGUUUUCGGAUUGGAAACCUCUUUUCUCUGUGAAGAUAAUGACGGUAGCAGAGGAGGAAUCACCGUCUAACUACGGGCCAGCAGCCGCGGCAAUACGUCGGGAGCCAGCGUUGUCCGGAUUUACUGGGUGUAAAGGGUGCGUAGUCGGUCCUGCAAGUCAGAAGUGAAAUCCUUGGGCUUAACCCGGGAACUGCUUUUGAAACUGUAGGGCUUGAGUGAAGUAGGGGCAGGCGGAAUUCACGGUGUAGCGGUGAAAUGCGUAGAGAUCGGGAGGAACACCAGUGGCGAAGGCG
rnacentral:rRNA from 1 species